CAUGUUUCUGGAAACGCUGCAGCAUUUAACUUCAAUUUUAAUCUGGAUAACGCCAAAGCUUUUCCUCAAAUUCACCCCUGGAGUCAGCUCAUAGAUGCUCUGAUUUUGUCUACCAUUGCUCCUCCUUAAUAUCUCUCGCACAGGUGCCAUUGACCUUUAGAUGGGCUGUACGGUGUGGGGUUCGGUGCCAUGGAUCUGCUUCUCCAGGGACCAGGAUCUUGAGAUCUUCAGGCUGGGUUUCCAUGGAGGCAUGGAGCUGCUUUUCCUCCUUCAUAACUGCACUCAAAACAGCCCUGUUGCUCUAGAAUGGAGACUUGGGCAACUCCUUCUGGCACAGAUUUGUUCACCUCAGGUGAAAUUCAGAUAGAAGCAAGCUGCAGGCAGUUUCACCUCUAAGUCCAUGGGUUCUCAACUGGUAACGUCCUCUUAUGGAUGUUAGCCCAUGAGGUCAAUCCUGUAGCAAUCUAAGGCUUGAGAAAAAUUAAUCUUCUGGAAAAUUCCAAGAAUACAUCUUAGGGAAACUGGCUCUACCUUUAUGACUUGGAUCACACAAGGAUAUGCUUUUCAUCUUGGACUAGAACUGAGAGCCAAUGGAUGUGUUAUCUAAAACUAUCCCAGUGUGUUCACUAUACAGAGGAAGAUUCUGAGAUUCAAGACUCAAGACUGAAGAAGAUCAUUAUUUUUAUUAUUUUAGUCUUAUGCACAAAAUGAUAUCUACUGAAUAAGCAGGUUUUUAAUAGGUGACUUAUAUAUGUUAGCAAAAAUAAACACUUUGUCUUUUAGAUCUAUUCUAGUUUUUCAGUAGCUGUAGACUUAAGUGCUAACUUUUAGCCCAUAGGAUAAGAAGAAACCAAGUCCUAAAAGUAGGCCAGCACCAGGGUUCAGGCCUCUGACUUCAAGCCAAGGGCUCAUCAUCUUGAAUUGCGCACGAAUUUUUACACAGCGCCAAAGGAAACUGCCUGUACUUACUGUUGUAGGUGCUUUGCUGGAUUCAGGAUGCAGACAAGGUCCACGCAUUGUGGUUGGAAUGUGGCAGAAUUGGCCGGAAGCAGAAUUGCCUGUUUCCAGUGAGGCCCCCUUGCCCUCUUGGAAGCAAUUGCUGUGUAGGAAGUCUGAACACCUCACAGGAGAUGGAGGCCAGUUCCUGCCUGCUGUAGCCACCCAGCUGAAGGGGGUCCAGACACGAGUGGAGGCAUUGUGACCUCCAGCCUCAGCAGACACCUCCACACUGCGCAGGGCAGAGCAACCACGCCACCGAGUGAGCCCCAUUUGCAGACUUUGAGCAAAUAAUGAUUGUGCACGUUGGAUCAUUUAUUGAGUUUCUCUCGUACACCAAGCACUGGUUGGAUCCCAUGCUUGUUGGUGACAGAACUGCUGUGAUGCCAGUCCUGCGUCCCCUUCAGCCUGUGAAGGAGGAGCACCAUGAACCAGCCAACUAACACGUGUCUAAUCACAUAAAGGGAACUGAACACCAGAGAGCCACAGUCACUUUCCGAAGGUCACACAGCAAGUGCAAAUGAGGCCUCAUCCUCAGGGCUGGGUUCCAGGCCUGCUGGGCAGGUCGGUUACUGCUGCACAAAAUUUCUGUUAUCCUAAAAUUGUUUCAGACAAGCACCAAAGGACGUCCCAUAGUUCUGCUUGACUAAGGUUUAAUGAAGUUAAUGUUCAUACUUUCCACUCUAUUUUUCCACUCUUUAAGGAUCCAAAUUUUCUUGGUGUAGCUGCGUAUAAAAGUUUAACUAUUACAGAGAUAACCACAAAAUUUGAUGAGGCUUCAUUGAGUGGAAAACACUGUAGUCCAAAUAAAUGCAGAAAUCAUUGGUUUGGGAACCAAGGGAUAAAAUGCUCCCAGCUGUGGCAGUUCCUCUUCUACCUUCUUUGAGUGAAUUUGCAACACAGAAAAAGGCUGAUGAAGCUGAGACAUUGAUUAUCAAAGUGCCUUCACUUCCCAGAACCAUCUGACGCAAGAUAGAAUCCAGCUAUGCUUAAUCACCACUUACACAGCACUUUCUGAAAUGCUUUCUACAUCUUAGGAGGACUCUGACUAGAAAAGAUUAGGCCUUCAGCAGCCUGGAAUUGGCCAUCCUAACUGACACCAUCUUGCAGUCACUUGUGAUAAGAGCUGGGCAUCUGCUUCCAAAGGCUCUGCAGCAUCAAAUACUCUGCAUUGCAAAACCAGUGGACCACCUCGCCUAGACAAGGGCUCCUUUAGCUACCCCUGGACUGGUUUGUUCACUUUUUCUUCUAUCUGUUUUGCCCUUUGAUGUUAAAUGUUACUUUGUUUGUUGUAGAAUGUUUAGCCUAUAACAUUCAUAUAUUGAUUAAGUAUACUAUGAUGUAUGGUGUGCAAUACUGACUGGCUUGUGGGGUGACUUGAGCCUGUGUGCUCAGGACUAUGUGCCCGUGACUCCCUAGUGCAUGGGAAGUGUGAUGGAGAAUUGCCUUCUUGGGAACUCCAUGUAGCUCAUGGCUUUUGUGAUUGAAAUACCUUCAAUAAAAGCCUGACAUUGUGGAAAGACACA
rnacentral:lncRNA from 10 species